UGGGGAAUUUUGGACAAUGGGCGCAAGCCUGAUCCAGCAAUGCCGCGUGAGUGAAGAAGGCCUUCGGGUUGUAAAGCUCUUUUGUCAGGGAAGAAACGGCCGAGGCUAAUACCUUUGGCUAAUGACGGUACCUGAAGAAUAAGCACCGGCUAACUACGUGCCAGCAGCCGCGGUAAUACGUAGGGUGCAAGCGUUAAUCGGAAUUACUGGGCGUAAAGCGUGCGCAGGCGGUUUUGUAAGUCUGACGUGAAAGCCCCGGGCUUAACCUGGGAAUUGCGUUGGAGACUGCAAGGCUUGAAUCUGGCAGAGGGGGGUAGAAUUCCACGUGUAGCAGUGAAAUGCGUAGAGAUGUGGAGGAACACCGAUGGCGAAGGCAGCCCCCUGGGUCAAGAUUGACGCUCAUGCACGAAAGCGUGGGGAGCAAACA
rnacentral:rRNA from 1 species